GGCUCCCAAUGGCCAAAGAACGGCUCUUUUGAUUUUAAUAUCUUGCAUGACCUCAAUAAAUUUUGUCACCGUUAUGGCAAGUGGUCCAAAGUUCCCUAUGUUCAAGCCUUCUUUACCCUCCACUCCUGACCCUCCCUCUGUUCUUGCUCCAUCUUUCAAAUUCUCCUUCAUUCACAACCACCUCCCUUUGAUUCUGAUAUCUCAUCCUUUGAUCCUGCAGAUCAUCCUCCCCAUAUAACCCUCUCCAUGCAGCCAGCUCUCCCACCAGCUCACAAUUCUCCUCUCCUCCAUCCUCCUCUUCCUCAGGUCCACCAGAUCCUAAUCCAGAUCCCAACUGCUCUUUCUCAUCUCCUCAUACAGGGUCCUGACUGGACUUUCUGCCUCCAAAGACAUCUUCCAAUGAGCCCUUUACUCCCUUUAGGGGAAGUUGCAGGAACUGAAGGGAUUGUCCAUAUCCAUGUCCCUUUUUCAAUGUCCAACAUCUUUCAAAUUUAAAAAGGAUUAAGCUCCUUCUCUUCUGACCUCUCCACCUACAUUAAGCAAUUCAAACAUCUCACUCAGUCCUAUGACCUUACCUGGCACGAUGUCUAUAUUAUCUUCUACCCUCUCCCUUGAGGAAAAGGAAAGCAUCUGGCUAGCUGCUCAAGCCUACACUGAUAACCUCCACCAGCAAGAUAACCACCAUCUGGUUGGGGCAGAAGCAAUCCCCAGCAGGAUCCAAACUGGAACUAUCAGGUAGAUUGCCCAUCCACAGACACUGGAGUUACAUGGUAACCUGUCUCAUAGCAGGGCUCCGGAAAGUGGCAUGCAGAAAAACUAAAAGAAAUUAGCCAAGGCCCGGAUGAAAACCCUGCCCUCUUUCUUUUUCACCUAAUUGAGGCUCUCCAAAAAAUGCAAAUUUAGACCCUUCCUCAGUAAAAGGAAGAGUUUUCUUUAACACUCACUUUAUCUCCAAUCUGCACCUGACAUAAGGUGCAAACUACAAAAAUUGGAGGAUGGCCCUCAAACCCCACAAUGGGAUCUCUUGAGCCUUGCCUUCAAGGUUUUUAAUAAUUGGGAUGAAGAGGCUAAAAGCCAAAAACUAAAAAGAGAUCAGGCUAAAUACCAAUUGCUAGCAACUGCCAUUCAUGGCUCCCAAAGAUAUAGGCUCCCUCACAAGGACAACAUUUUUAAGCCUCCUCCAGGCCCAUGUUACAGGUGUGUCAAGGAAGGCCAGUGGGCAAAGGCCUGACCUAACCAUUGUUCUCCCCCAGGCCCUUGUCCACAGUGUGGCAAGAGAGGCUACUGGAAGGUUGACUGUGAGCAACCCCCUCAGGCAAGGGUCACAUCCCUCCCUACAGAGAGACGGGAAUCAUCGGACCUCAACAUGCCAAGCCUCCUUAAGGCUGGUCACAGAAGACUGAGGAUGCCUAGGCCCCACAACCCCCCAUGCCUAUCACUCCACUGGAGCCCAGGGUAACUCUGCUGGUGGCAGGACCUCUAUAUUGGACUGGUCUAUAGAGAGAACUACUGACUUCAAACUCACCCUAAAACAAGGCUUUAACAAGAAAAACACCAAUGCCUGGACAAAAGAGAAUACAUCAGAAGUAGACCACUAUCCCAAGAUUGCCACAACUGACUCAAACCUACUAUGUCCAGCUACCCAGUACUUGUCACCCCUAGCCAGCGGGAAGUAGCUACAGAAGAGCGGACCAUCACCCCAUCCCAUGUAACAAAAGGCUGGAGUGAUAUGUUCCCAGGAGAACAGAGACAGACCCCCAUCCCCUGAAUGUGACUGUUCACCUUGGAGACCUGCUGCAGACAUGCGUAUGGCCUGGAACAAUAUCUGCACAUUUCCUGGUAUGUGGAGCUUAGAUUAACCACCUACAAGGAUGAACUGCCCUCUGUCAUUGGACUCAACUACCUACCCAUCCCCAUCUACUCCUCCCUUUAUCUUUCCCUCCUCCAUCUUCAUCGUUCUUGCCACAUGUUUCUGCCAUGAACUCCAGCCACAGAUUCCCACCACAGAUCCUUUAUAAGCCAAGCACCUCCUCAGAGUCAGAGCUGGCACCAUCUCGAGCUCAGCCUAUGCCCCUGAAGCCUUAAUAAAUCUCUUUUGCUUU
ensembl:lncRNA